AAAUUGCGAUAUUUAUUGUGAACUGCAGAAUUAGUGAAUCAUCGAGUCUUUGAACGCAUCUUGCGCCUUGGGGCUAUUCCCCAAGGCAUGCCUGUUUGAGGGUUAUUAAAUACCUCACACCCUGAUGGUGGAAACGCUGUUGCGUGGUUGUGGUCUGUGGUGUUGCUGGGUUUACCCGGCUUCGCUGAAAUUUACAAGUGAUUUGGCUUGGUCGAGACACAAUGGCGUUAUAAUUUAUUAUUCGCUGUAAACUCGUCCCCGUUCACUAUGAAAACCCCCCCGUCCCUUAAUUUUAACCUCAAAUCAGGUAGGACUACCCGCUGAACUUAA
rnacentral:misc_RNA from 1 species